GGUGGAGCUUCUUGGAAGGAUACAAUGGAAUUAAGAAAUCUGCGGCUGGCUCAGGGCCUAGGGAAAACCCCAGAGGCGCAGGGAGGCUCACAGCCACCCACUUUCUCCAGAGCCUGGCCUGUUCUCUGUUCUCCCCCUCACCUGUCCCUGCCUUACCAAGCAAGACCCUGGGGCUCCCCUCUGGGGAAUACAGCCCAGUUUCAGUGCUCCCCCACCCCCUGGCCCAGCCCAGUAGCUCCCUAAAACCACUCCCUCCCACAAAUCACAACAGAGGGGCUGAGGUCCCAGUCCCCGUCUUUCCCAGCCCAACUGACCUGGACCCAGUUCACCUCCUCCUCCUGGCCCCAUGUGGUCCCUGGAGAUGUGGCAGGUCUCCCUCAGACAAGAUCUGAGCUAGAUCAAAGGCCUCAGCACCUACCCUCAGGUCUGGCUCCAGCAGUCCUUGGAGGCAGAAGUAGGUAUGAAGAGGCUGCUGUGGAGGGAGAAGAGAAGGUACCCCCAGGUGCCGAGGUCCAAGCUAUACCCAGGAGCAAUCUGAGGAAGGUUCACUUACCAUCGAGGACACCUAUCAGCUAUCACCUGAUCCUGGAGCCAAACUCCUCAUAAGAGGCGAAACAUCCCUCUAGAAUCACAUGGCAUCCAGUCUACCCUCCAGCUCAGGGACUAAGCAUAACCCAAGUUCCUAUCAAGGCCAGGUAUCAUUCGGGUCUUCCUUGCCCCAAGCCACAGCAGGACUAUGGGAAGCUUAGGUGCUGGGAGCUCCUCAUGGGAACCUGGUAUGCAAUGGCUGAACGCAGUGUACAGCAGUGUGCACGCUGUUGCUUGUAUGACCUUGUAUGACCUUGGAGACGGUGCUUCCCAAAGGAUGUACAUGUCUCUGAGCUCUUCAUGUCCUUGAUCUGGGUCCCAGACAGAUAUUCAAAUUGCCUUUGGAAAGUCCCAGGGCACAGUGGCUAGGGUUCAUAUUGACCAAGUCAUAGUGUCCAUCUGCACAUGGGUACAGAACAAGGAGUGUGUGAUUGAGGCCCUACAUGGGGCUAAGUUCAGUUCCCUGGCCACCAGAAAAUCCAUAUCUGUUCAUAACUUUCCUAAGAACAGUGGGGCUUUACAGAGUUUGAUGUGAAUGGAUUUGAAGACAUGGUAGCAGAGAAGUGGGCAGCUGUCAAAUACAUCCCAUAGUUUCCUGGACAAAUGGCAAACCCUGUACUGGUGAGGUUUUCCACCGUGUUACCACAUCCUUCCUCACAUUCACCAAUAAAUCUUACUUCUUGCCCAUAAAGAAAGGAAAGGCUAGGCAAAGCUGGCGGACCAGGAGCAAAGUCCCUAGGGAGUCUCCUUCAUAGCCUCUCUGCCCAGAGGAAGUCAAACUGCUGUUCAGAGGACCCACUGGGUACCCUUUUCCAUGUCAAAAUGGUUCUGCCAGUUGGGAGCACUCAGAAUCAUGUUUUGUCCCUGGUGUGUGUGUGUGUGCGCGCACACACGCUCAUGCAUGCAAGUACAGUGGGCCCAUUACCAUCCAAAACUUGGGUAUCUUCUGUGGGGAAAAAGGUACACUCAGACAUCACUGGUGGGACUGCAAACUGGUUCAACCACUCUACAAAGCAGUAUGGAGACUCCUCAGAAAACUUGAAACAGAACCACCAUUUGACCCAGUUAUCCUGCUCCUCAGUACAUACCCAAAGGAUUUAAAAUUAGCAUACUAGAGUGACACAGCCACAUCAAUGUUCACAGCAGCUCAAUUCACAAUAGCUAAUUUAUGGAACCAACCUAGGUGAUCUUCAAUAGAUGAAUGGGUAAAGAAAAUGUGGUAUAUAUACACAUGGAAUAUUACUCAGCCAUAAAGAAGAAUGAAAUUAUGGCAUUAGCCAGUAAAUGGAUAAAACUGGAGACUAUCAUGCUAAGUGAAAUAAAUCAAUCCCAAAAAACCAAAGACUGAAUGUUCUGUCUGAUAUGCAGAUGCUGACU
rnacentral:lncRNA from 1 species